GUGCUUGCUUCGGCAGCACAUAUACUAAAAUUGGAAUGAUAGAAGAUUAGCAUGUCUCCUGUGCAAGGAUGACACGCAAAUUUGUGAAGCAUUCCAUAUUUGU
ensembl:snRNA U6 U6 spliceosomal RNA